GACGAACGCUGGCGGCGUGCCUAAUACAUGCAAGUCGAACGCAGUGGGGACGGGGUAGUAACACGUGGGUAACCUCCCAUCAGAGGGGAUAACACUUGGAAACAGGUGCUAAACCGAUACUGAUGGAUGGACCCGCGGUUCAUUAGCUAGUUGGUGAGGUAACGGCUCACCAAGGCCACGAUGCAUAGCCGCCCUGAGAGGGGGAUCGGCCACAUGGGGACGGGAACACGGCCCAGAUUCCUACGGGAGGCAGCAGUAGGGAAUUUUCGGCAAUGGACGAAAGUCUGACCGAGAAACGCCGCGGGAGUGAAGAAGGUUUUCGGAUCGUAAAACUCUGUGGUUAGAGAAGCGGUAUCUAACCAGAAAGCGACGGCUAACUACGUGCCAGCAGCCGCGGUAAUAC
rnacentral:rRNA from 1 species